UUUGUCAUUCAUUAAACCCCAAACGCCGCGAGCCUACUGGCCUUGCCGCAGUUCCCGUAGCCCCGCCUCGCCGCGUUGUAUUGUGGGAGCUGUAGUUCUGGACUGCCCAGGGCUUGGAAGGAGUAAGAAGGAGGUUGAAACCUGUUAUGAAUCUGAGAAUUCACAUGGCAGGUUGGAGGUAUGGAACUCAGCCUAUAUGACAGUCAUAGAAGAGUUUGUAGAUCCAUUUUACAGCGAAGCAUGGAGGAUCCAGUGAUUUGGGAAGUAGUCUAGAAGGUUGACACCUAUGGCUAAAUCCUCUGGGCACCCAGGGCCUCGGAUGCACCAGCCAAUGGCAGUGUUCAAGACUAUAUGGAGUGAGUGUGAGCUACAAACCUGAAAAGGGAAGGAAUAAGGAGAGUGAAGAGAGGAAGCUGCAUGAGCAGGAUGCGAUGCAAAUGCCUGGGAGCACCAGAGAUGCCGUCAUCACGUGUUGCCACUGCUGUUUUAAUAACCAGUGCUCAGGGAACAUCAUGGAAGAAGGGACAGAAAGAAUUUAAGAGCCUGAGGAUGACGAGGAGUGCUGUGAAAUACCAUUCACAACAGUAUUUGUGGACUUGACCUGGCUGUUGGACACAUGGACUGAUGGCAGCUAUGGUUGCCUUCCCGAGUUACACUUAAUCAAAAAGCUAAUCAAAUUUCAGACAUGGAUUGGGCAGGAGGCUCUGAUGCUGCACUCCUAGUGAAGAACUGUUGGCAGUGGAUGGCUGCUGGAGAAAGAAGGGUCACUUUUCACUAGGAUUGUGGCUACCGGUAGGUGGUAGAUUUCCCACACACCAGUGGAUAAACCCACACCUCUAUGCACCUGGGCAGCGCUAAUUGUAUUUGUGAAUUAAAAAUAAACUAACAAAAGAAGGGCAUGAACUUUGGACAUAUUAUCUAGGGGACUGGAAGGGAAUUGGAGGUUGUAACUGAGUGGUAGAUAUGAUCAAGAUACAUUGUAGACAUGUACAAAAUUUUCAAAGAAUAAAUAAAAAGAAAAUAUUUAAAAGCUCUCAUAGACAGAUAUAUUUGCAGAGCGCUGAACACAAUAAGCAGACAGAAAAGUUGUUAAGAUGACAUUGUACUAUUAAACUACACCAAGGAUUUACCACAGAAGGGUAUUGUAAACAAUAAUCAAUUAAUUGUUUCAGAAACUUUAAGUAUAAAUCAGUGAAUAGCAUGCCUACAGAUGAGUGAUUCUGUGAGUCCGUUCCAUGCUUAUAAACAACUUCUAGGUCCUCUGUUGUCAGGGUUAAAGCUGUGUUUGUAGUUCUGCUGGCUAGAGGCCAUGAAACAUCCUGCCUCCCUGUCCUGCCUGCAGCCAGGAGACACCAGAAGCACCUACCCUUCCUUCUUUGCUCACUAACAAAGCCUCUAAAACCAGGUUGACAGGCGGUGAGUGCCUCCUCCUUCCGUGUUCGUUUUGCUUGAGGAAACAACCCAAAGCCCCUGGUGAGGAGGUGAAGAUCUAUUGUCCAUGAAGGAUCUGAAUUUCAGCUUCGUGCUCAGCACUCCUGCAAUUUGCCUUCAUUUUUUUACAAGAUGCAAAUAGCACUCAUUGGCUUCGCUGCCCUUCCGUUGCCCUUGUCAUUCCUGCAGUCGUGUUGAGAAGAUGACAUCGCCACAAAAGAACUGACCAUCUUGUAUUGGCUAAACAAUUGGCUUGACCUUAGCCAUUCUGACUGAGAUAAGAGGAACUCUCACCUCAUUCUGACUGAGAUAAGAGGAACUUGGUGCAUGCACUGGCUUUCUGGAGCCCAUUACCUAUGGUGGGACACCUUGCUCGCCCUUGAUGCAGGGGGCUUGGUCCUGCCUCAACUGAAUGUACCAGGCUUUGCUGACUCCCCAUGGAAGGCCUUACAUUU